CAAAAACACUCAAAACUGGUGAUUUCUAAGUGAAGGCAACCCGUGACGGUCAGCGAAACGAAAAUGUUUCUCCUCCCUCCCAGGGUGGCAAUUGUAGGUAAACCCAUACUUGAGUUUUAGGCACAGGGUGGUGUAUUGAGUUAUCUGAAGUUCUCAUGAAUGCAUAUAAAAACUGAAGUCUGCCAGAAAAAGGAUGACAAUCUACUCCUUGACUGGCCUCAAACCCUACCUGCAAAUAGGCGCCUCCUAAUGGGAAAAAGGAUGAAUCAUAAUUUUAGGAUUCUCAAGCACCGUGAUCUAUUCGUCACUCAUAAUAACUUCUCAUAUUUUGGAUGAGGAGCCUGAGACUGAGAAUCGAUUAAAAUUAUCUCACGCGUUCUGGAGAUGGAGAACAUACCCAGCACUCUGCUGCCUAAUAAG
rnacentral:lncRNA from 1 species